rnacentral:rRNA from 1 species
CAGCCGCCACGGUAAUACGAAGGGUGCAAGCGUUAAUCGGAAUUACUGGGCGUAAAGCGUGCGUAGGCGGUGAGUUAAGUCUGCUGUGAAAUCCCCGGGCUCAACCUGGGAACUGCAGUCGAAACUGCAAGACUUGAAUGUUGGAGAGGUUGGGGGAAUACCUAGUGGAGAAGUGAAAUUCGUAGAGAUUAGGUGGAACACCAGAGGCGAAGGCGCCUGACUGGCCAAACAUUGACGCUAAGGCGCGAAAGCGUGGGUAGCAAACAGGAUUAGAUACCCCCGUAGUCCCUGUCUCUUAUAC